ACUUUACAUUGUAGUUAUAUUUUAUUGAAUUUACAAAUAAAAAUUUAAUUUAAUUAUUUGUUAUGUUGGGGAGACAUAAGUAAAAUUUAUUUUAACUGCUUAGUAGUUUAUAACAAUUAUUAGUGAUAAUUUUGUAGAAGAUCCUUUUUGAAGAUUAAUAGGUUAAGUU
rnacentral:rRNA from 1 species